GUCUGGAAACGGACGCUAAUACCGCAUAACACCGCAUGGUCAAAGAUUUAGCACAAAGAUGGGCUCGCGGCUGAUUAGCUAGUUGGCGGGGUAACGGCCCACCAAGGCGACGAUCAGUAGCCGGACUGAGAGGUUGAUCGGCCACAUUGGGACUGAGACACGGCCCAGACUCCUACGGGAGGCAGCAGUGGGGGAUAUUGCACAAUGGGGAAACCUGAUCAGCGACGCCGCGUGAGGGAAGACGGUUUUCGGAUUGUAAACCUCUGUCUUCAGGGACGACAAUGACGGUACCUGAGGAGGAGGCCACGGCUAACUACGUGCCAGCAGCCGCGGUAAUACGUAGUGGCAAGCGUUGUCCGGAAUUACUGGGUGUAAAGGGAGCGUAGGCGGGAUGCAAGUUAAUGUUUAAACUAUCGGCUCAACUGAUAAUCGCGUUAAAACUGCAUUUCUUGAGUGGAGUAGAGGCAGGCGGAAUUCCUAGUGUAGCGGUGAAAUGCGUAGAUAUUAGGAGGAACACCAGUGGCGAAGGCGGCCUGCUGGGCUCUAACUGACGCUGAGGCUCGAAAGCGUGGGUAGCAAACAGGAUUAGAUACCCUGGUAGUCCACGCCGUAAACGAUGAUUACUAGGUGUGGGGGGA
rnacentral:rRNA from 1 species